UGCCGGGCCGCCCGCAGCCGCACACCUCCCAGGUAGAGCAGCAGGGCAAGACAGGUGCCGGCGGAGAGCAGCGUCAGGGACUUCUCUGUAACUAUGCUCCAGGAGAAGAUGAACCCCCACCCCAGUGCAGAGCCAGUGCAGAGCUGCUGCAGCCCUUGCUUCCCAUAGCUGGGCCAUGGCAUGGUUCUGCACAGCUCUCUGCCUGGGUUUCGGAUGGGCCAAGAAACAGCUCUGUGACCCACUUCCUCCUGGGCAGCCAAAUACAUCUUACUGCACCAGAGAGAGGAGCUUCCCUGCAGGAGGCAGAGGCUGUGGAUGUCCUGAGGUGCCCUCCUGGGAUAUCUGAAAUUGCUUUUCCUGCUCACCUGUUGAAAGAGCCUCAAAUCCAAGGGUGGGCAGAAAAGACCUUGUUAAAGAGUGCGAAGUCCCAAACUUCUCCCUGCUUGGAUGGAGCAGAAAUGCAGAGGGGGGCAAACAGUACAAAAAAGUGCCAUACCCUCAGAGUUGUCAGAGGGGAGCCAGGCUCCCUGGUGGCUUCCAGAGAGAGCUCCUGCCCCUACCAAAUCAAAGUGUAGGCAUUUACCCCAAUAAACCCCAAGAAAAGUUUGGGUCCUUGCUGAGUCA